rnacentral:rRNA from 1 species
GGAUACGGCCAUACUGCGCAGAAAGCACCGCUUCCCAUCCGAACAGCGAAGUUAAGCUGCGCCAGGCGGUGUUAGUACUGGGGUGGCCGACCACCCGGGAAUCCCCCGUGCCGUAUCCU